CCCCCUCCCUCAUUGGAUACUGCCCGUCGUCAUGGAGAUCGAACACUGAGACAGGGAGGAGGAGGAGAGGGAGGGGGGGCGUGGUCAUUGCGUCAGGAACUCCCGCGCAGAAUGCCGCCUUUGAAAUGGAACAAGAAGUUGAGCCACUUCCAGCCAGUGAGUCGGGAAAGCAGCGCGCCGGGAGUUGGGAUUACCAGUUGAAAAUGUUACUUUUUUUGUGUGUGAAUUUGCCAAUGAGCGCAAUGUCCUUUCUUUUUCCCCACUUCUGCUAACCUCCCCUUCCCCUUAUAUUUAAUCUAUUUUUUUGGCCCAUUUUAACUCAAUAUUUCAGCACUGGCAGCUUUUAUUUGUUUCUCUCUCUCUCUCCCUCCUUUUCGCUUUUAUCCCAAGGUUGCUCAUUGCUAUGAGUCCUCCUUUGGCAAGUGAGGAUUGUCAAGGAGCUGAAUGACCUCCACCCUCCAACUACGCUGCGCCGAUAGGAGACGCAUUUCCACAGGGCCGAAGUGACAAGGUCAGACUGGGAUUUUUAGCGGAAAACAGUGGCACAGAUUGCAAAAGGCUGGGAGGAAGAAGACAAUGAAAGCGGUGAUGUGAGGCAGGUUUGAUUGCAACAGUGUGGAUUGCCACACCCCUUCUCACUUACACAUCUAUAUAUUAUAUAUAUAAUAUGGAGACAAAGGCAACCUACCUGGGACUGAAGGAGAUGUAUUUGCAGCCAUUUCACGAAGGUGGUGGUGAAGGAUUGAUGCCAUCUUGCUUGGGUCUAACCUGAUGACAACCUCCAUUACAGGGAUGGCACUGCCAGCAGCAGUCAAGGUCACCAUAAUCCUGAACUUAUAUGUUGUAAACUCAUUCCAAGCUACUCUAAGGGACCCCAGCAACGCUGACCAAUCGGCACUAGUUAAGUGGCAUUAAGGAGAUCACUGACAGAAGCAACAUUAUUAUCUUUCCCUGAAAACUCUACUGCUGUAUGAGAGGAUCCAACAAUUUUGGUUACAAUGUAGGAUGCCCCCAAGUUAUUGAUGGUGCCCAUGGCCAUUCCUGCACACUAUACUAUUGCCUACAUCGACUGCCAAUAGGUAUAACUUUAUCAACAUUUAGGUGGUCUGUGGUGAUCAACAAAGCAUCAUGUGUUUCAUCUUUAUCUGGGAUACUGAAGAAGGCAGCCAACAGGAUGGGGGAUAAACUUACCCUCUUCAGGUGCCCCAUGACGGCAUUAAGAUGGAGACAGCUGGCAUCAGAACAAAGAUACAGGACUUACCUGAGCAUUUAAUACUCCAUAAAUAUCUUGACAUAGCAUCAGAAGCUUGGGCUGAAUGAGAGGCAUUUUCCAUGGCAGCUCCUCUGGACUCUCAGAGACGCUCAUAAUCUGCUACACACUACACACCACUGUCACCCAGAGAGGCUCAACGAUGGAGUAGAUGGACAAGGAGGAGAUUGAGAAGGACCACACACAUCCCAGGAGCAGAUCAAGAUACUGCCAGACAACCAGAAAAUAUUGCUUCUGAAACAUUGGUGCAGCAACAUGGUAGAUUCCCAUUCAUGAGACCUUCGACUAAGCAUAUCCAGCCCAUGUAUCAGUCCUCUCCAUAUCACCAACAUUGGCUUAACUCAACUACCAAGGAUUCCAAUCCUCUGAUCCACCAAUAUCCUGUUCUAAUCUGUCAAGAGAAGCUCUCAACACAGUCGCAAAUAAAAUGCAACCAAAUGUAAUUCCCUAAAAGUGAUUAGUGUAUAUAGCACAAUGCUUCCCUUGGUGAUAGGCGUGUUUUGGGUAUUCUAUGCCUUACCCUUGUGCUGCUCCUAGGUGCAUUCCCAGUGACAGGUGUAAGGAAAAUAGUUGGCUGUUGGGAGUUAGUGAGAAGCUCCAGGGAUUGAAGUGUCUCCUUGUGCUGAAUCAUGAGCUGUCUCUGCAACACUGCUAUCACAUCUUUUACUAAAGUAGCUAGAAAGCCCUGCCUACUUUCUGGCAUAUCUUUUGUGGUGGAGAGGGCGUCUAGAUACCCUUGGUGUCACCAUCAGGGCACAGCGAUCAUUAUCCCUUUCGGCUGGGUGCUCCCUCAUUCUAACCCCUGACCUGCAUGAGAACAGAAGGAUUACAGCCAAUUUUGUACAGGAUCCGUUUGAAUCUAGUUUUUUGCUUCAGAGGAUUUUUUUUUGAAGAAUUAAGUUAAACUAAACAUUUUUUUCUCCAGUAACAAGUUAUUUGCUACAACUGGGUAAAAGAAAAUGUAAAAAUUGAAGAAAGAAAUUCAUCCUUAAUGGCAAUAGAGAUCAGUCUGCAAUAAGCGUUACUAAAUUUUUAGAUUAAAAAUAAUGCAAAUAUAGGGUCCAAAAUAAUGUACAGAGCACUAAAGCAAAUACCCCAAAAAUUCUGAACUUCCCCAUCCCAUGAAAUAAAUCUUGUGUAUUCAACCCUUGUAUUCCCCUUGUGGAUUUUUUUUGUAUUUCUGUCUUAUUCCAAUGAAGAGAAGUGAAGGAAUGUUGGAUGCAUUGACAGCUUACGACAUAAGCCUGUGUCUAAUGCACUUUCAAUGCAGUAUCUUUUUUUUACACGUACUCAGGGCAUUAGAUCCCAUUCUCUUUAGCCUUUACUGUAGAAUUUACUCUGACUUAUUGCCUCCUGCCCAGCAGAGUGAAGACCUCACCUGUGGCAAGGGUGUCCCAGGGAUCCAAACGUGCAAAACUCCCUUUGCCAUAUAUAUCCUGUGGAAGGAGAGUGACUGACGAUGCUCUAUGUUAUCAAGCAGUUUGCUGCCCAGAGCUCAGUCCUUUCAGAAUCGCUGCUGCAUGUUAUAUCCCAGUGCCCACACCUUCCUAGCAAAUACCAAGAUCCCACCUGCUGGCCAAUUCAGACCAGGAGUUAACCAUGAAGCUGGUUUUAGGAAAUCCUGCAAGAUUAGUUUAGUGAUGUCUCAGUGAGCACUAAACUCCCCGCUUCAAUGUUGGGAGCUGAAAAGCAUUGCUGUAGUGUUCUAGAGUUGUUUUUACCCCCAGUCUCUCAAUUCUGUCCUAGACCGCAAGCAUACUAAUAUGGCAGCCAACCUCUGGAGAAAGUGAAGGUCACUUCACAUAAAGACAUUAAUUAAAAGGAGGGGCUCUCCAUCAGGGUCUAUUUGGUACAACACAUUUAAACAUCUUUGAGAAGUGGCCCCCGACAAAUGUGACACCAAUGAUAUAAAAGAUAAAGCAGUACCUUUAAAGUCUUACAGAAUUAGGUAUGUUUUUGUGUGCUUAUGCAUUAUGCAAAUGAAUGAGAAAUAAUGUUGUGGUCUUUAAAGAAGCCCAAAUUCUGAUCAGAAACAAGAAAAGUGGGUCUAAAACAAAACAGAAAUUGAAAUGCAUGAGAUGUGGCUCAUUUAUAAAAGGAUCACCUUGAUAAGACAUAAAACUAACUGAUAACAAUGGCCAGUGAAAUAAUAAACCAUGAUGAUUCAGACUACUUGUUCCUUCAGUUAAUGAGUCACAUAUAAGUAAUUGAAGUGACUAGUAGCAGUGCUUGUUAUAAGACACAUUCUGCUAUUAAACUCUAUCCUAUUUGACUAAUGUUCAUAGAUAAAGAGGCUCUUAUGUCGGCUGACAGGAGUUAAAUGGGACUUGUAAGAGUAAUUUUCUUCAGUGAGCUCAGGUACCACCUGCCUAAAUUUAUGAGGAUUGUUCAAUCAAUGGAGAGAGUAAAAAAUCAUUUUAUCCCUCCUGUUUUGGGAGGAUUUGAACCCAGUUCUUUGCAAAAAGACAAUGCUUUAACUCCUUUAAGCAGCUUUAAUGUGCAAACUUGGCUUUCACCAAUACAUCCAUCUUCUUUAAUAAGUCAAAGGUUCACAACCAUGAUUUUUUCCAACAUGAUCCCAAAACACUAUGGUAACAAACAAGGACAAAACAGUCUCGCUUGAUGCAAUUCUUGUGGAAGUGUUGGAUUCCCAACCAGAGGCUCCCAAGUUACAAUUCCAGCUUCAAUUCCUAUUCAAUUUUAUCGGCAUGAGUUUGCCAGUUCUAGGUUGCACCAUGGAUUGGAGCACUGGACCAGUGCUGUGCCUUGGGAGGAGAAACUAAAACGUGUCCGGCAGAAGCACAGCAGCAGUGGUAGUUUGAACCAGGAUUGCUGCUCUCCUGAAUGAAACAGAGGGUUAAGCAGUGAAGUGGGAAAUGAAAAAAAGGUAGAGGUUUGUCUGGUGUUUGGAGAGUCUAGAAUUCGGGGGCAUAGUCUAAAACUUAAAACCAGAUCUUUCAGGAGUGAAAUUAGGAAACACUUCUACACGUGAGGUGCGUUGGAAGUUUGGAACCCUCUUCCCCAAACUGCAAUUGAUACCAGGUCAUUUUGUCUUGUUUGUUCUUGGGAUGUGGGCAUUGCUGGUGAGGCCAGCAUUUGUUGCCCAUCCCUAAUUACCCCUGAGAAGGUGGGCCACUUCUAGUCCCUGUGGUGUAGGUACACCCAAGUGCUAAAUUAGCAAUUGUCAAUUUUAAAACCGAGAUUGAUAGAUUUUUAUGAAACAAAGGUAUUACACGAUAUGAAGCAAAGGAGUUAUUAGAUUUUUAUGAAGCAAAGGUAUUACAAGAUAUGAGGCAUAAGGAGUUAUGGUCACAGCUCAGCCAUAAUUUUAUUGAAUGGAGGAACAGGCUCGAGGAGCUAAAUGGCCUCCUCCUGUUCCUGUGAAUGCAGGGGCAAAGGAGUGAAGAUUAUAAACAAGGACAUCUUUUUCCUCAUAUAACAAUGGAAUAACGACCAAAGCGUCAUUGCUGUGAGACCAUUGUUUUGUAAUAAUUUAAUUGCUUAGUCUUAGUUUGAAUGCUUUUGUGCACUGUUUGGUAAAAAUAAUGUUCCUGCAAAAUCACUUUUA